rnacentral:rRNA from 1 species
UACGGAGGGUGCGAGCGUUGUUCGGAAUCACUGGGCGUAAAGGGCGUGUAGGCGGUCCGCUAAGUCUGAUGUGAAAGCCCGGGGCUCACCCCCGGAAGGGCAUUGGAAACUGGCGGACUCGAGUCCCGGAGAGGAAGGUGGAAUUCCUGGUGUAGCGGUGAAAUGCGUAGAUAUCAGGAGGAAUACCGGUGGCGAAGGCGGCCUUCUGGACGGUGACUGACGCUGAGGCGCGAAAGCUAGGGGAGCAAACGGG